UUAGUGCGGCAACAGUGGGGUAUAGACGGUCAGUGGAGACGACGACAUUACGAAGCUCUUGUGAACGUUGUGUAGGUAAUGGUGAGUGGGUAGUGGGGUAAAUUGUAACCGGUGCUUGUGUGCGGAUCGCGCAGCCGCGUCAGAUCUCUUGUCAGUGUCAGUUGGUUCGUCGCGGCGACUUGUCGUGCCGUUCUGAAGUGAAACCCGAUUUGAAAAUAUAAAAUUUUUGUUUUUUUUAAAUCGUUACGAAGUACAUUUUGAAGAGUUUUUUUUUUCCCAAACGGGGAGUCAUUGUUGAGAAGGUGAAUUGUCCGAUAAUUGGUACCGUGAUUUAAAUGGAAAUAGUUUCUGGAUUAACUGAGAUAAGAAUUUCUAGAAUUUUCUGGAACUGUCUGCCGAGGGGAAUAUUCGAUUUGUAUUUAUUCGCCAGUGACUUUGGGUGGAGCGUAUUUACGACACGUCCAGUGACUAUUAAAAAAUCCGAGAGUCAAUAGCAAGUGAUUUCUGAAUAAUUUUCACGUUUUUGUAAGAAAUUUUUUUUCUGUUCGUUUUUUUUUUUUUUUGAGUUGAGCGACCGGAUUUGAGUAAUCUUUGAAUUAACGGUGGGAAUUGUCGUCUUGACGUGUUGAAUGAUUAUUUACGAUUCUUCAGUAUUCAAGAUAUAAGAACAUAUCCCGUGGAAGUACGUAGAGCCGAGGAUUGUGUAAUUCAGUAAAAAUACAACGUAGACACGAGGAGGAGAGAGAGUAUUUGCUGAGAGGGAACUUUUUUGAUCUUCGGAGAGUGGAGGUACAUCAAGUGGAAGAGAUAAUCAGUGGGUAAAAACUGGAAAAAAACGUGCUGGACGAUAGGUUGAAAACAUCCGGGAGGAUAGAACGAGAUUCUGACCAGACUUUUUAAUUAAAAAUCCAACUUCACCGUGAAAAACUCUCGAAGAAAAUUGCCCAGGUCUUAUAACCCUGACUGACGUAAUAAACAUAAAAGUUUUCAGACCCCCUAAAUAAACUCACCGCAACAUGAAUCGCGACAGUAAUUGCUUUAAACUUUAAUAUAAAAUGUGUGAAAGAAGCCAGCUUUGGUAAUUCUUCUUCAUCCACUGAAAUUCUUUAGAACAAUGAAAAGUAGAACUGGAACAUUCCAGGCAGGAAUUAACAACUGUACCAAGGCUGGACCAGGCUUGAACCAAGACAACCCAAGCCUGUUUCUAGACUGGUGUCAUAGCUUCGGGCUAGCGUGGGAUACCCUGGGAGUGAAACAUUAGAUGAAGCUUGGGAAGUUCAGGUUGGCCCAAGGGUAAAGGCCAGCUGUACAACGCAGGCCUGAUCCAAGCUUAUCUAACCCAAAGCCUGGCCUCAAUCAGGCCCUGGAAUUAAUGAGAUUGGAAAUCAAAAUUACCGCAUAUUUAUUUUAUUUUCCAUUUAUAACAUUGUUAUAAAAAUCACCUAUUAAACACUAAAACAUAAUAUAUAAAAAUCUCUUUUGCAAACAGUCCGAAAUGUGCAGAUGAUGUCGAUUUAAUCAAUCAUCCAUUAACAUAAGACAACUGUUGAUUAUUUAAAUAAAAACAAUAAAUAAUGGACUCCAAUCAAUUAUCAUAAUUUUAUGACUCCAGUGGCAUGACCAUUGACUGAAGCCAGAGACAAGAAGCUUGAACCAGGCUCACUACCGGGCUUCGGGGUGAUCUAUCGAAAUAACGUUGGCCCUAGGUUGGCAUCGGUCAAUCGGGUCCGGUUGAUUUCUUUGAUCCUAUUGUCAAUGCUUAGCAAUUCUAUAUGGAACAUUCGAGAUCCGAAAACUAUAACUUUAAACGGUUGUUUUCAUAAUUAUGCACUGAGGAAUAUUCGAGAGACGUUGGCGGAGUUACAAUCGGGUAUGUACAGUGAUACAUAGGUACAAUUGAAUCGUAGUGGUGGACAGAAGGGUGAGGUGGGUAGGGGGGGAGCGGGGAAACGCGAAAAUGCGGGAUGCCGUGAAUUUAUCGAUCGACGCUUGCGCGUCUCACUGAGAAAACUAGGUUCUGCCAAAGGACAUUAACCCUUGUCUACAUGAAGUAGGAAUUCUCCGCUGAGAUAUUUCAAUAAUGCGCGAUAAAAAAUGCGAAAGCUCAGUGAUUUUUUAGUGCUUUCAUGCUUAAUAAUAUUAGUAUUGAGUAAUCAAUGAGAAUAAAAAAGUAAUAAAUUGAAAUAAUUUUUAAUUGAUUUAUUUUUUGAAGGUAAAUUACUAAACAUUGCAAGUGUUUACUCAUGUAAUAUAUGCAAUGUAUGUAUAUAUAUAUAAAUGCCUAACGGGAAUAAGAAAAAUUCAGAAAUAAAUUCAACUUUGCAAUGGAAGUUCCAAAAAAUAUCAUUCAAUGGAAUUUUUAAAAAUCUGUAUAACUUUUUUAAAAAUUACUUAUCACAGGUGAGUAAAUUUUCAAAACACCCGAAUAAUUGUGUAAUAAUCACUAAUAAACCGAUCCGUUACAUGUCAAAUACACGUUUAUAUUAAUGUCGUAUCACCUCUACGUGUUUGUAAGGAAAAAAAAAUUUUACACGCGAUAAUCCGUUCACAUUUUCACUCGAUAGAAAUGAUUAUUUUAUCGACUGGAUAUUUAUAUUCGCCACGAAACUCAUGAAUUCGAUGAGGAAAAAAUUCAGCAGCUGUUAACGAAUACGAUAAUUAUAAUUUCACGUUUGUUUUUGGUGAGACAAAUACGUUGUUAUUUAAAUUGUUUAAUCCGUACGUCAAUUUUCCUCGUCCGCAGGGGGGAAUGAUCUCCUUUCCCCGAUUGUAUCAUCUUUGAUCGUCUUUUGAAUCUGAUUUAAUUCUCUGGCAUUGUGGGACACUUAGGUACCACUUACAUUCCAAUUGUUGUUGAUAUUAGCUAUCGCGAAGGUAAACAAAAAUUUAUGGAGCAAUUGGACAUUUGGAAAAGCCUCGUGUCAGUUAUUACCACGAAAAAUCGAUCACAGGUAUCGCGACGAUUGAUUGUUGGGAAAAUAUUCCCGAUGGAAUAUUCGCUUUCGUAAUAGAAUUUUAAAAGAUUUUUGAAAAACUUUUAAAAUGAAACAAAUUUUUAAAAAUUUUAACUGUUGUGAGGUACAAUCUUGUAACUGCAAUUUUCCCAAAUACGUGAAAGUUAUUUAUCAUUUAAAAAUUAAUUAUUUAUUUGAAAAAAAAAUUGAAGUCCUUGGGUGGGUAAAUGUCUAAUAGAAAGGCAAAUUCUUUAAAAUAGUGUCUUCCGAAAAUCUAAAAAAUUUGUUUGCGCCCUCAGGGAGAUUUUUUGAAAGUCUUUCGAUGAUUUCUCUGAAAAUCAAUUUUUCUAUCAAUUUUCUCAUCCCAAAUCGACUAUAUUAUUAAGUAUAAAUUAUAAAUUAUAGUAUAUUAUUAUAAAUAUAUUAUUGCAGUUGUUUGGAGUCCAACAAUCGCGUAUACUUCAAUCCAGUGUAGAAUGAAAUUGAUCUAAGUACAUUUUUCCAUGCAAAUAAAUUAUAAUUCCACAAUGAUUAAGCGGUCAAUUAAACUUUCAUCGUAAUAGACGUCACUGCAUUAACGAGCGAAGGUAUUGACCUCAUUACGCGUCAAAAUCGGGAUGUAUUAAUCGAGGUUUUAGAAAUCAAAACGGCAUUACCUUCGUACGUGCGUGUGACCAAGUUAACGUAUUCGGGGACACGAUGAAUCCCCAGAAUUGCAAUAAAACACUAAAUGCUAGUUAAAAACACCUAAAUGCGCAUUAACGUAAUUUUCAUUGCAAAAUCAAUGUCCUCUGGAUUUAUAAACCUACUGUUUAUUCUUGGGGAAAGUCGACCUCGUCGUACACAUGGGUCCUUCAUUUAUUCGAACGUUGAGCUCUAGUCGUUUGUUUGCAUCGGGGAAAAAUACGUCAAAUUAUUCAAUUACCUUUAUCAUCUCGUAUUCGUGACCCGAAUAAAUGUUUUAUUGUAUCGAGCAAUAGGAACCCGUGAAUUUAAGUUAAUUGAGCGGAAUCCGGGGGCUUCAGAGUGCGAAGAACAAUAUUUUCUGAAAGUUACGUUUUACAAUAAUUUUUUUUUUGGAUAAAAAGAAUUCUUAAAUAAUGUGAAAGUCAUCAGACUGCAAAGUAAAUAUUUCUCGAACCUUCAAUAUCUAUAUGUUUUGUGAAUAAUUGUGAGGAAUAAAUAUCCAGCUUUGAAGUCAGUAGUAACAGACCAAAAGAAGAAAAGGUCAGACCAAAUGUUCUUUUUCUUCUACAAAGAAUAAUUUAUUAAUUUUUUUUCCUUCUGCACGAUUAUAUUUUUCUGGAAGAAGAUAUUGUCGGUUAAUAAUUACGAUCAUGAACAAUCCUCGGUAAUUGUAGUUUUAAAAAACUGAUCAAAACUUUUUUUUUGAUAACAGUAAAAUGAUAAUUCCUGGAAAAGUUCAUCCUGAGUUACUUGGAAGCAAUCCUCCAGACAAUCAUAAUUAUCAUAAUUAAAAUUUAACUAAAAAUAAAGUCCGCUUCUCACGUGACUUGGACUUUAAAAAAAUUAUCAUUCGAAAAAAGAAUUCUUCAUUUUCGUGACAUGAAAAAUGAAUCGUGAAGUGAAGUAAUUAAAGAUAAUCCAUCCGGAAGUAAAUUGCAAAUUUAUUAGGAACAAUAGCUGCACUCAUUAAAAAAUGCAAUUAUCAUUUUUUUUGUUUUAUUUUCGCUUUACGACGUAAUGUGCAAGUUGAUUGAGUUUGAUCCAUGAUUAAUGGGCAUUGGAUUGAAGUUGGAGGAAGUUGUGUAUUAGGGACGAAAGGAGCAACAUUCUGACACGGAUAUAUCUUUCGCAGCGGUUCCCAACUACUUCCUGUUUAUCAAGUGCUCCUCAUCAAGUGGUAAUGCGUUAUUGACGAGUCAAGCAGAAGAGCAGCGGUUCAUUCUAAUAAUAUUUGCGAUAAAUUUAUUUGUGCAGAAAAUCUAGAGCAGCGAGAUUUGAAAUGUGGAUACGCACCUCUUUUAGUAAUUGUUAUUAGGAUGUCUACCAUAUAAUAGUUUUUUCUUUAAAUUUCUUUCCGUUUAAUCAUUCACACUGAUUUAAAUAAAUAAUGAAUAAUUCUGCGGCGGCAAAUAAAUACCACAAAUCUAUUAUUAUCCGGCAUUGUACAGUUUUAAACCGCGAGUACACUGAUCUGACCAAAUUUGUUAUGCAAACAAGGGAAGACAGUCCAAGAAAUGCAAAAACACAUGAGAAGUGGGAAAAAUAUUUUUAAAAUUCCGCCGGAUGUCUCUAGAUACGUUUUAUCAACUGUUUCAGAUAUUUCGGACACAUCCGCCGUCUUUUUAGGGUAUCGUAGGGUUCGGCUACUGUCGUUAUAUAUUUUUAUUUUGUUCCGGAAGGUUUGAAUUUCGUAAGUCCGCGAUACAGGAAUUUUACCUUGACUUUUUUUUCUUCACAAUUUAUUAUUUCAUAAUUGCUCAAGUUGAAGAACUUCCGUCUUUCGAAUAUAUCCCGCGCAUAAUAAAUAUCAGUGUGUGGAAUGUUUUUUGAAAAACAUUUGAAUAAUUUUUGAAAGAUUCCCCCGCAAGGGCUUGUGGUUCCCAAUAAGAAUUUCAGGAGAUAAAUGGUUCUGAGGACAUUUAAUUUUUUGGAGAAUCUUCGGACGGCUAUUUUCCAAGACUGGCCCAGACUUGGUCCAAUUGUUAAUUGCUACCUGGGUGAUUGGAGUCAGCUGACCGCGUGUGACUGUCGGGGCCUCGGUGCGCCGUCUAUGGAAGCGGCGCAUAAUUAAUGGGCUAAACCACCCAAAUACGGGGCGUUGGUGGCUUUGCCCUGGGAAAAACAGAGGCAGAAUUAUAAAAUGUACAUCUCUCGGUUUUUCUCGUGGCCAAUUAGACGCCUCGCUGUCGUGUCAUGAGAGUAAAAAAAAAAACUACGGGAGACAGAGUAUGACAGAGUGAGAGAGGGAGAGAGAGAACAACAUCGUGAGAGUAUUGGUGAAAUAAUUGCGUGAACCACUGCACAAGUUGCCGUUUUUCUACGACGUUUUAUUUAUAUUUUUUUCAUUUUUUAUUUCACUGUCUUCAUCGCAAAUAUCUCUGUAGCUGUUAAAAUCUCCGGAGUAUCAUUUUCGUGGUGACACUCGGUAUGAAAGAACUCUUCAGGAUUUUUCUCGCUCCGUUUAUUUUUUUUUCACCGGAGAUCUUCCAGAUGUUUUCAUCAGAAUCAUCAAGGAAUCUUCGGUCGAUUUGUCUAGUGAUCCAGAAAGAUGAUUUGGAAGAUUUUCGGACGAUAAUGUUUUCUUAGGAGAGAUUCGGGUAGAUAAAAUUUUUUCUGCAGAAGAUCUUCAGCAGACAUCAAUAUUUCUAUAUGAGAAAAUUGAGAACAAAUUGCAAAAAAAAUUGUCUUCCCAAAAUCUUCCAAAGAAGACCCUCUGACGAUCGUUCCAUAAUUUUUCUGACUUUUUAUGGAAGAUCUUCGGCAGACAACAAUUUUUCUAGACAGGCAGUCACGCGUGAAGGUGCGUGUCUCAAAACCGUCCUUUUUAUGAUUCGAAGUGUGUUGCAAUAUCUCCGGGGAAUCGAUUGUAUCGCGAAGUUGGCUCGACCUACAUUAGCUCCAAAUUGAAGCACUCAAUUAUUUUUCUUUAUUUUUUUCGUCAAAUGUUUUUUCUUCUAAGCGUGGGCAUAUCCUCUGAGAAAUCAAUGGAAAAUUGAAAGGCAUCGCCUGCUCUCCAGUUAUUUACUGUUAUUAUUAUUACUUUUUAUUAUUGACCGAGUACCGUGGAAGGACACGAAAUAAUGCCGCCGAUUUUAUCGCCCAUAUUCUCGGGUAAAAGUCAGGGGAGGUGGAUGGAGCUGAAAGAAAAUUAAAAAAUAAUUUAAAGAUGAUACGACAAUGAGAUUCGAUGUAAUGUGACUUUUUAUUGGCGCAUGAAUUUGUCCGACAUGACACGUGUUUCGCGUAUACACUGAGUUGGUAUUCUUAUUGUGCCAUAAAUACCUGUUAUCGUGUCCGAGUAAAAGUCUUGGGAGAAUCGUCAAACGGUUGAGGCAUUGUCACAUAAACCGCUGAGGAAUUUUCAACAGACGAAGGGGAAAUAAAGAGGAAACGUGGGAGUUGGCUCUGUCAAGGUCACUGAAUAGUUUCUUAUCGACGUUGGGGGAUGUAGGGAGGUGAAGAUAAAAUGGACGCGGAAAGGAAAAAAGUGAAAAAAAUGGAUUUAAAAAAAUUAUGACAUUGAAACCCAGGUAGGAAUUGGCAAUUGGACCAAGGCUGGACCAGGCUUGGGCCAGGACAAGCCAAACCUGUUCCUAGACUGACAUCAUAGCUUGGACCUAGCGUGGGAUACGUUGGGAGUGAAAGAACGGAACAAGCUUGGAAAGUUCAGCUUGGCCUAAGGGCCAGGCCCAACAUAGGGCCGUUUCAGCAAAUUUAAAUAAAAAAAUUUAUUGAGGGGGAUAAACGAUUUAUGAUAUAAAAAAUAUUUAUGUAACUACUCAGUGGCAUGCUCACUGUUAACUCUCCACUAUGAUAUGCUGACAACUUUUGCUUGUUUGUUAUUUCCAACGAUUAUUGGCAUUUCCCACACAAAAAAAAUGAAAAUAAUGAUUAAGAUAAUGAGGACAUUGUUGAGUUAACGAAUGCGGGAAUCGACUCGUUCUAUCCUCUUUAUAAUUCCUAUUUUCUGAAUAUUCAUAUCGACCGCUUCUUUUCCUCGUUGCGAUUGCGCAAUGAAUUGUUAUGGUAAAAAUAUAAAAUGUUAAUGAAAUCAGAUAGCGCCUGCUUUAUCAAAAUUUUCUCAGUACCACUGGCGAAUUAAUACAUUACGACAACGCAAAACUGUGUUUAAGAACAAAUAAAUGCUAUUUUAAUCCAACUUUUUCCCGUAAAAAUUGCGUAACGAUUACAGAGACAAAAAUGUCUUACAAAAUUUAUGGUAUUCAUGGUAAUUUUUACGUGCGAAUAAAACCCACUCCAAUAUUCUAGCAUUUUGCACCUCGACUCUGGUGCCCGUCACAGUAAUUUUUCUGGGGCUUUUCUCUCCUCGUAGGGAGGACAGGAGUAUAUUUCUCGGUCCGUUGAAUUUCCCCGCCUUUUCGGACGCGUGCUUGUUCCACAACUACGCAAACAAUUGGAAUUACAAAGAGUUCCGAAAAUACCAGACAAUGGGGGAGAUGACAGAGGAAUUGGAAUAAAAAUCCGGAAAUAAUUUGCUCCUCUGAAAAUAGCUGGAUUUGCAAAGACAAAGGAUGUUUCUAUGAAUUCAGUGACACGUUAAUGCUUAACAACAGGUAUAUAACAGCAUUAUACGUGUGGUACACCCGUGUGUGCGUGAUAGUAGUUUUCAUUCAUAGUCGGGACUGAAUAACAGAAAUGGGCUUCAUAAAUGCGAUGACGCGGUGCGCCGACACGAAAGGGGGUCGUUACAAAGCGUAUGGGUUUGAAUUGUUUGCACGUCGGUUAUUAUUAUUUUUUUCCUUCAUUUCUACCGAUUCGAUUGAUAAUGUGCUACCGAGUGAAUCAAAAUUAAAAUCCAAAUGAAAAUUGACUGCGGUGAAAAGAAAACUCACGGAAUAAAAAAAUCACGCAAUAAAAUAGAGCAGACAAUUUUAGGACGCCUUUAAAUCCAAGUAUGGCCAGCCAAUGUAAUGCCAACAUAACAGUUUUUGCGUUAAAUUUCUCUUUACACAGUUGUUCCUCCCAACUUUGGAUUAAAUUCACCGAAAAUAUCCGACGUUUCGCCCCCUGAAUUACACAACCACCGCAGGUCUCCAGUAGUAGUGUCCCACAAUGGUCAGACUCCAUUAAACUUCGUAAUGAAAAUAAAAAAAGAAAUGUCACGUAUUGUUCGUGAUAAUUAUCUCAACUUUGUCAAACAACGACGCACGACCCCAGAUAAUUUCUAAUCCCGAGUGUCUCGUGGAGUUGUGCAAUAACCAGCAAUAUAUUAUUCAUAGAUAACACAGAAAUACGUUAUAACUCGUUUCUAAAACGACUUUCCCUGGUGUGCGAUCUCGUGAACGGCAACAAAUCAACGGGUUUAAUGAUUCGGGGAGGGAAUUUAUUUUUUCACACUCGCUGAACCAAUCUAUCUUUCGCCCAACUUGAACCUAUAAUUGCAACAGUUAUGCAAACUGUCGUUGAUUACUGGAAUCGUUAUCAGUUGACUAUUUCACAUGAGGAAAAUACAAUUUUUCAGUAAGAAAUUCAAAUACUUCGAUAGUUAUUUUCUGGAAUUAAAUAUUUUUAUAUUUUUGUAUUUGAUAUGUUGCAAUUGAUUUGAUCCCGAGUUCCUGCAGAUCUUGCAAUAAUUUUUACGUCUUGAAGUUUUGCAAAAAUAUCGGAAAAUCUGAAAGAAAAAUUGUAAGUUUAUUUGUAAAAAUUUUAAUUGUUGGAAAUAACGUUUAAAUCGCUUUCAUUAUUUAUUCACUAAACAUAACGUUGAAAUAACAAUAAUUUUCUGAGAAAUGUUAUCUGCAUGAUACUGAAUAUUCACAAUUUGUCAUUAAUAUAUGACGCUAUCAGGAAUAUUGUGAAGUUUAAUUAACAAAGACUUUUCAUUCUCAAUAACAGAAACUGUAAUGCAAUUUCAAUAAAACACAAUUAACAUUAAACUAAAAUUGAUAAUAAAACACAAUUUUCCAUGAUAAAUGAUAAAUGAUUUUCCAUGAUAAAUGAUUUUCGAAGAAUCAAAAGAAUAAAAAAUGAAAAUCAAAAUGACGUACCAUUUCGAUGCUCCGGAGUUGAUAAUUGACUUCAGUACUUUCUCGAUUAAAAGCCCCAGUGUUUACGGAACGGUUUCCAUGUGCGGUAAAUAUGUGAAAUGGGGGCGGUUAAAGACGGAGUCAUUGAUUUGCGACAAUGGGGGAACUACGGCGGUGUAUAGGACACCCAGUACCGAGAAGCCAAUGAAUACCAUUUCACUAUUACACGAUAAAUGUAAUAUUCAGUACUCACGUUGUAAAAUGGAUUUGAAUGGAAAUUUUUAUUUUCUUGUCAAUUGUCUGAGGAAAGAAUUUCAGAAUAGCGAAACAGCGCGAAAUAAUAUAUGAAUAAUACAUAUAAUAUAUAAUAUAUUCUUCGAAUAUGGAAUUAUGUAGAACAAUAAAUGAAAAAAUAUAUUUUAUAUAAUUUUUCUAUAUCAAUUUGGAGAAUUCCGUUCAUCAAAUAUAUAAUUUUCAGAACAUCGAUAUUUGAUUUGGAAAUUCUGGUGAAUAUUAUAUUCGCCGGAAUUAUAUGAGAUUAUUAUGUUAUUAUUAUAUUAUAUUUAUUAUAUUUACCAUAUUCUUACAAUAUUACAAAUAAAAAUAGGAAAAUUGAAUUUACAUUUGGAAUUUUUGUAGAAAAAUUCUCGUGAUCGGUAAAAUCACGAGAAAUUUCGAAAAAGUUCUCGAUAUCUCCAACAUUUCCGCACUAGUACCGGAAUUUUUCUUUGAGAAAUCUCUCGGCGCAUCGAAAUUCCUCACUAAUAAUGCCAUUGACGUUUCACUUGAUUUUUAAAUCUCCUCUUGUUACUGCCAACCGCACGUCAAACCCUAGAAGUGCAUUCGUCACUGCGAAAUGCCCCGGAGCAAAAGUGCACGUGCACUAAUAGUUUAUCCUCGACAACAGAAAACUUCAAUCAUCGGGACUGUCGAUGAAAUUGUCUGAGAAAAAUUGCCAGACAUCACUUGACAAUAAAAUGUUCAUCUGAUCUUUGAGUUAAUUGACAGAAAAUUGAAUAAAUUAUUUAUUUUAUUAUGUGACCAAAAUAAAAAUAUUAUAAACCGAAGAUCCACUCAAAUACCCAUUACCUAAUUAACGUCAAUUACUUGUACGAAAAUCACGAUUAUCCACCCGUUUACGAUUAUCCAUAAUUUUUGAAGUUCUCAGUAAUAGGAAUGUGAACCGUGAAAUGUUCAAUUAUCCAAUUUGAUUAGCACUCGGAUAAAGGGGAAGGUGAUGCACACCAGAUACCUGCAAUUAUCAUGCUAAAGAAAUUAGCAAUUGCGACACUUCAUUCCUUAAUGGUCCUUUUUUUUUUAUUCACUAGUGUCUCGCGGCUUCGGUAGGCACUCGUUCACGUGCGCGAUAACGACUUCGCGAAAUGUCUUGUUUCAUGGACAUUAGCCCAGAUCUCGUGACACGGUGAGAGUCAAUGACGUGUCCAUGGCGCAAUUAAAAGACAGGAGUAUUUCAAAGAUACGUGAUUUUUUUUUUCUACAACAUUUUUUUGCUCCAAUUAUUUCCCUCUGUCUUGCUUUUUUUUUCCUCAGCAAUUUCUCGUUAUUUACUCUCGAUGAGGAAAGAUAUUGUGAAAAAAAUGUAAAUGAGAAUCAAUUAAUUUUGCUAAUUACAAAAUUAAAUCGAUUGGUGUUAUUUAUUGCAGAUAAUUCAGAGGUAAUGAGACAAUAUGUCAAUCACGGUAUCUGUAGUCAUUGCAGUUCCGAUCAAUCAUCACUUCACGUUUCUUGGCGUGUGAUAAAUGCGGUAAAAAUACUGGAACAAAGAAUAAAAUUUAGUCAGCGUUAUUAUGCGGAAAAGUGAGUGAAAAAUGUGUUUUAUUUUCCCUGGAAUCCGCGCGGAAGCCGUUCAUCCCGUCCGCAUUGAUUUUGUUGAGCAACACGUACCGAAGAGAAAUGCAAAUGCAUUGAAAAAAAAAUACCGGUAGAUUUUUGCAAUUGAAAUUAAUUUUAUAAUCGAUACCUGACUAAUUCCUCUGCAAUUAAGAUGAUAAAUUAAAAAAAUUAUGGGGAGAAUUGUCAAAUUACGUUCAAACAACUUCGAAGGUGCAUUUUUGCAAUCAAAAUUAAUUUGAUAAUUGACACCUGACUAAUUUCUCGACAAUUAAAACGGAAAAUUAAAAAAAAAUCAUCAACUGAAUUUUCAAAUUACUACGAAAGGACUUUCUAUCGUUGAACAAAUGUUAAUUGGAGUGGGGGCGGCGGGGGGAGAGGGGGAGCAGUAGGAUGAGUGCAAUUACUCGUCGACCUUAUCGAGCGUAAAUUUCGAAAUAGCUAAAGCCAAUUCCGGGAAAGUUUUUGCUGAACGAAAAGUCUGACCAUUAAUACACUAUUUUGUUUUAUAAAAUUUCAAACAUUUAAACUUCCUCGGUAGCUUCGUUGUGUACACAGUGAGAUUACGGAAUGCAGUGUAAAGUAUCCUAACAGGGAUGUAUUUAUAUUUAUUUACACUGAGUUACAUGGGAGGCACGUAAUUCAGUGGACUUCGUCUUGUAAACAACAUCAGACAGUACGAGUCAAGUGAAACAAGUCUGGUGCAUUGUGUUACCGGUUUCUACAUAUUCCUCGGUAGCUUUACUUCCGUAUGGACGCUUUGUAAUUGUUCGAUUUUGGAUUUUUUAAUUUUGCUUGGAAAUUAUGUAGAAUGGGAUGAAACGUAAAAAUGCAAAAUUUGAACACAUGUGUGUGUGGGCGGAUGGUCGACUUGAUCCACCCUUUUAGAAAAUUGAAGGGGGAGAUGGGUAAAGUUAUUCGGAGAAAGGUCGAAUUUCGUCAAAUCACACCAAAAGUCAUAGCUCCAUUGGUCCAACCGUUUUUCAUAACUUUCCAUUUCGUUCUGAACCGAUUUCAAUUGAUUUCACCUGUCAAAAGACUCGUAUCGAUGUGCUCCAUGUCAAUGGAGUCCUUCGAAAGGUCUCUGAACAAAUUAUGUCUUUCCGACAAAAAUUGUCUUUGAAAGAUUCUUCUGAAGAUUAUUCCAAGAUAAAAUAUUUUUCCCUGCGGCUCCUCUCGAUCCUAACUUCUAAUAGAAAAACAACGUAAUUGAUCGAUUCUCAAUUAUCAUAACCACAAACUCGUCCUCAACUUGCGGAAGAAAGUCCGGAAUAAAUUACAACGCAAUAAUUCACUAUCGGAUAAUAAAAAAAAGUGAAAGGACGGCUCGUAUGAUCCAGAAGGACUCGAGUGAAUCUACGCGUUAUGAAAUACACAAUUGGCGAGAAAAAAAUACCGGGGGAGAGUAAACUGUUGCCGAUGCGGACAAAAGUUUGAUAUACGUUCGCUUCUGACGUCACACAAUGAUUGGUCGUAAAUAAGAAUUCGGUCCACACGAGCUGGCGCGUGGGUGUAGCACCGAUGGGUCUGGUUAAUGGUGUUAGUUCAGGAUGAUGGGAUUUACAUUCCUCGCAAGAAGCUUGAACCAGGCUCGCUACCGAGCUUCGGGGUGCCCUAUCGAAGUAACGUCGGUUCUAGGUUGGCAACACCAGCAGUUUGUCAGUUUAGAGUCAAUCAAACUUCGUCUUGUUGUCAAUCUUUGGCGAUUCUUACUGGAGUGACCCGUCAAGUCCGAACUGAACUAAUUCCUAUUUCUCAAAUUUGAGAACAACCAUUUUCUUUAUUUAAUUUAAACGAGCGCUCCUCACUCAUUCUGUCUUUAUCAAUACAAUCUUUCUCCCAGAAAUGACCUCAUAUGGCCCGACAAAGACCAUCCUUAUGGGGCAAAGAAUUUUUUUUUUUUUCAAUUUUUAUCCACUUGAAAAUACAAAUACAGACGUUAUUAGUUCAAUCAGUGGAGGAAUGGCGUAAUGACGAAGUCAGGGGGAUGUUACACACACUCUCACGCGCUUUAAUGACAUUCUUCGGACUACGUGAGCUCGACCGAGUUUGCGAUACGUGCGGAUCGUUUCAGAGAUGCCCAAUUGGUCUAGUAGUUUUUUUUUCCUCUUCCAUUCUUUUUAAUGGGCAGUCUUCUUGUAAACACGAGAUACAACGUACGUGCACCUGCUAAUUGGGUCAUAUCAGUGAAGAAGAAAGAAAUUCAGGGGAAACAAUUUCAUUAAUAUUAAUUUCACGUCAAAUUUAUUCGGUUUUCUCUUCGGUUUCUCGGGGUGUAUGCACUGAGAAAAAUAUAUUUUUUAAGAAUGUAAUACACACAGAGAAAUUUUUGUUAAAAAUGCGUAGCUAAAAAUAUCAAUUUUCAAUUUAUAAGAGCCGUCAUUAACAUUUAUUUUGAUGCAUCGUUACAGCUCGAUCGGUUCCGUUGUUCUGGAGAUAUUAGUUUCGUUUUUAUUCAAUAUCUCAAAAACUACUGCAAAGAUUUCACUUUUUUUGAAACCGAAUUUGUGCCAUUCAGAAGCUCACCACUACAUCACAUUAAAUAAAAAUCCUCCCCUACUUUAAACGUCAAUAUUUUUGGAUCUUUCAAGUUCCAUUGACUCCACCAUUUUCUAAGAAACUUUACUGGACAAUUUCAAAUGCUACAAAUAAGCAAUUACUCCGGGAGGAGGAGAAUUCCGUCGCACGUCGUGACUGAUUUGCGUUAGCACGAGAUCAGUUGUGAAGCCCACAAGGGUUCACCUCUCUCAAAGUCGAAUGGAACAUUUCCUGUACAUCGUCGAGUGCCUUUGGGGGUUUCCCCCUUCUUAUUAACUCACCCUUCAUACCUCCACCCCCGUCAUUCAACCCACCUCCCUCCAUUCAUUUUCCCUGAAUUCAUCCACUCAUUUUUUACUUGUUUUCCGUCACAACUGCCCUCUUAUCUUGGGAGCCGUCUACGCCCAUUGCUCCUUUCCAAUUCGAUGGCUUUGACCUCAUCCCAGAAUGUAUAACUGACGGAAGUGACUUGACAUCAAAAAAGAAAACGAGACGCGAUGACGUGAAUGGCGAUUAGUUCGAUUGUGGCAUUGAGAUUGCACUGGAUUUACUCGAUUCGGAUUAAUUCGUAUUUGGUCGUCAUACAAACGAUCAAUCGAUUACUCAUUUCCAUAUUUUGCCUAUUCAAUUUAUUCAAAUGGGAAACGGAAUUUAGCGACGUGAGGAUAAGCAUUUCUUUCCUCAAAAAUUCAAAUUAAUUUUUGUUACUUUCAAUUUCAUUGUUUUUCCAUCGGUUUUCCCUGUUACGAAUAAUUGCUCGUAUUGCAGAAUGCUGAUUACGGUGUGUACAAAAAUUUAAAAGUUAAUGAUCGCAACAUGACACUGCAAAUCACAAGUGAAUGAAGCGUCAUCGCACUCAGCUGUUGCGCCAGCGCAUGAAAGCCGAUAGCGAGAAGGUGAAGAGAAAAAAAAAACUGUUGAAAUGCAUUGCCGUUAGAAAUAAGAAAUAAAGAAUAACCCAGAGACCGGGGAAAAUGGAUAUCGUCAUCUGACGUAGGAUGCUAGGCGUCAAGGAAAAGCGCUAGUUGCCAACUGUCGGCUACCGACUCUGCUACUAUUCGCGAAAUACCCGGCGCCACAGCGUCCGCUUCAUUAAUGUAAUUCGCAUAAUCUCCGCCCGGACGAUGAUGAGACUGUACCCCGACACUGUAUUUUCAUUUACGUUGUGCAUAAAUUUAUUUUUCAAGAUGAAAAUGAAAUUUACGUUAUCGUGAAAUUUACCUUCAUUUAUAUAUAUAUAUAUAUAAAAAUAUAUAUAUGUAUAUAUUAUAUUUGUUGUAUAUAGUUGAAGUCUUUAGUCUUCGAAUUAGGAUUUUUCCAGUUCGUAGAAGGACACGAAAUAAAAAAAAUAGUUUUUUCACGUUUCAUAACAUUCUGAAACUGAAAAUUUGCAGAUUGAUUGCUAACAUCCAAUUGAAAGUAGGAAAUCGAAAAAUCUUGCAAAUGCAAUUCUUUUAUGCGGAAGCAAAAUAUGAUUUCGCUUACAAAAUAUGACCCACAUGUUUCUCCUCCAUCGCAAUGCCACCAUUACCAUCCUCUUUACGUCUGUGUGUCACAGAUGGGCCUCUUUCUCUUCUUGCACGACUCUUACGUCACAUUAAAACCGCUCUGAGCCCAUACACAAAUGUGUUAAUAUGUCAUAUACAACGAAUAAUUCAACUAAACUUUCUGGGGUCCAUGAGACUCCCUCAGUCUCGUUCUCUCGAGAGCACGACCAAGUGCGAAACAUUAAUCGUUUCACAAAAGUGGAGUCUCGGAGGAUUAUAAUUGAAUAGAGAGAAUUUUUAUAGUGUGAUAGAAAGGAGUUCUGUCGAUUUGUCAUUUAACCUCAAAUAAAACAUGAUAGACCUUCAAAUUUUAUGGUGGUGUUACGGAAUUUUUUGAAGGCGCAUAUCAUUAAUCACAAAACGUAUUAGAGAAUUUAUGGGAUUGAUAGGAAUUUUUAUGUGUGAAUAAAACACAUUCCAGUAUUCCGUCAUUUCGCAUAUCGAUUCUAGUGUCCGGCAGAGUAAUUUUUCAGACUUUUCUCUUUGUGUUAUCUCGUAGAUGAAUAUUGUGCAUUGAACCUCGGAUGAGUUCAACGAGACCGUUCCAUUUUCCCUCUCAAUUGCACUUUCAUUUUUUCAUUCUUUCCUUAUUUGAAAAUUUAACUCUUUCUUUUUUUCAUGGUUCUCUUUUUUUUCA